ensembl:lncRNA LINC00667 long intergenic non-protein coding RNA 667
GCACUUCCGGCAGCGCCGCGGCCGGGAGGGACCGAGCGGGGAGCAAGGCCUGCGGGGAGGCGCAGGAUGGACGCGUUGGCUGUCAUGAUGUAGGACCUCCUGACCUAGAACCAUGCCCGGCGCAGGGAGAACAACGAGCUUACGGACCGGGUGCGGGGGCUGCUGUGCGAGAAAGCCUACCUGCUGGCCCGGGAGCGUUCGCCGGCCCACCUGGUGGCUUUCCCUGGACGUUUAACGGCGACUCCGCCCGGCCUCCCGACUUUUUGAUGCAGGCGUUCUCUUACAUGACUUUCUUCGAGGCUAGAUUCUCGAAAGACAUCCUGAAGGUGGCUUUCUUAAUUAGCUGCCUCACCGGCUGGCGGAGCAGUUCGUAGUCGCCUACAUCGAGAGGGAGAGCCCCGUCCUGGCUCAGUACUGGGGCUUCGUGGACGCGCUGUAGCGGGUCUUCGCCGUCGUGGGUAGGAAACAGUCGGGCCGGAUCCCCGGUGUCUGGGGAGCGGCUGCCGGCCGGGCCCGCGCGAGCCGCUUCACUCCUACAAGCCCGGCUCACUAGUUCCAAGCUGCUGGACUUUGACCCUCGCUGGGAAGCUUGAUCGCCGCCUGUUCUCGCCAAUCUCUAUGCCUUUGCACUGCCCAGCAACCCGGUCACUGCCCAGGACCUGUUAAAAGUUGAAUGGACCUCCCAGAAUCACGCCGCUGCCACCGCCGUUUCUAGAGACGGCUUUUGGCCACCUUUGAGAAUCAGGGUCAAACUUGGAAGGGCCUGCAUUUGUCACACUUCCUCGGACACUAAUUUGGAUAGUUCAGGCCCAGAGACGGCUUCCCGGGUUAGUGUGCCUGACAACACUGAAGAAAAAUUGUGACAUUUUCCUUCCCCAGAAUUACUUCGUUUUAUACAUUUCACUUCUCUUCUGAAAUCACAGCAAUGCCAGUUUGCGCCUUUUGGUCUGAGGAACGCAGGCCCUGGCCACUACCAGGAAAAAAUCCUUUGCACAUGGCCUGCUAUCAACAAUCCUCUACAAUGAUUCUCAGCAUCACCUAGGGAGCUUAUGUAAAAUCUCAAAUUCCUGGGCCCUAUCCCCAGAGUUUCUUAUCAAGUCCACUCACAAAUCGCAGCUGGUAUGGACUGGUACUGCCCCAAAUAAGAGGAACCUAAGAGCUUGGCUCCAAGACCCCCCACCAUCCCGGUGGGUUUGCUUGGCCUUUAGGAUGUGUGACUACAGCUUUUGGGUAGGUACAGGGCAAUCAAGAUUGAGGAAGAACACUUCAGCAAAGCAACCAUUAUUUGUCCACAAAAACAGUGAAAAACAGUGAUAUAAAAUUAACAAACCAAAUAUAAAUCUAACGCCAUUCUGCAUUUCCAGAACUUUUUUUAUAUUUGUGCAGUGUUCUUGGUCAACCACUCACCAAUUUUCUGCGUCUAUCUGAAGUACUUUUAAAGUUAUUAAAACUGCUCUUUUGACCAUAAGUCACAUAGAAUUGUGAUUAGGAAAUCAAUUUACUUAUUACUCUGUGCAGGGCACUUGCUAGGGUGGUGAGUGUAAAGGAACUAAAAAUGGAAGUCUCUCACUUCUAAACUGGACACAGGAGUUCUCAAAUUAAAAUAAUAAAAAAAAAAAA